rnacentral:pre_miRNA from 1 species
CCAAAAUAAACCAAUUUACUUUUUACCUAUAAUCUUUGACUCUUUGUCUUAUUUAAAAAAAUUUUGCGAUUGAUAUUUUUUAUUAGAUGAUAAAUUAUAAAUAGUACUCUACGUGUGACUAAUUUUUUUUCUAAUUUUUUAAAAAAAUUUCAAAUAAGACGGAUGGUCAAACGCUGGGCACAAAAACCGAAG